GAAAAAUCAAUGCCUUCAAACUCCAAUGC
rnacentral:piRNA from 1 species